GUAGAAGCAAAACUUAACGAACCUUCUGGUCACAGAUGUUGCAUUGCCUACUUCCCAAACUCCAAAACCCCGGUGUAUUAUGGAAGACGAUUUUUCAACGCCAGAGCGACCACGACGAAGCUGUGCUGGACAAGUGGACAACAGCUCUGAACUGUAGGCUUUCUUUCAACGAACAAAUGUAUGAUAUCCUUCAGAAGAAUACAGUUCAUUUUACUAAACACUUCUUUGUCAAAAUGGAAACUUUAUAUUCAAUACAAAUAAUCAAAUUGUUUCCGAGAAAUAAUAACAUCCUUGGUUAACCAAAUAAAACUAAUAGUAUAAUAUGUGAAUGCAACAAAGAAGUCCGUAGAGAAU